rnacentral:rRNA from 1 species
GAUCCUGGCUCAGGAUGAACGCUAGCGGCAGGCUUAACACAUGCAAGUCGAGGGGUAUUGGUUUCAGACCAAGUAGACCGGCGCACGGGUGCGUAACGCGUAUGCAAUCUACCUUUUGCAGAGGGAUAGCCCAGAGAAAUUUGGAUUAAUACCUCAUAGUAUAGUACUUUGGCAUCAAGGAACUAUUAAAGUCACAACGGCAAAAGAUGAGCAUGCGUCCCAUUAGCUAGUUGGUAAGGUAACGGCUUACCAAGGCUACGAUGGGUAGGGGUCCUGAGAGGGAGAUCCCCCACACUGGUACUGAGACACGGACCAGACUCCUACGGGAGGCAGCAGUGAGGAAUAUUGGACAAUGGGCGCAAGCCUGAUCCAGCCAUGCCGCGUGCAGGAUGACGGUCCUAUGGAUUGUAAACUGCUUUUAUACAGGAAGAAACACUCCGACGUGUCGGAGCUUGACGGUACUGUAAGAAUAAGGAUCGGCUAACUCCGUG